CCUAACUUAGCUAUUAAAUGGCCUAUAAUUAGCUUAACUAGCUCAAAAAUGGCUCAAUAAGCAUAGUUAUCUCCAAAAUGACUUAUUUAACCCAAGUUAGCUCUAGAAUGACCUAUAGUUAGCUUGGCUUCCACUUAAAUGACAUAGUUAGCUUAGUUAGCUCCAAAAUGGCCUAUUUAAUAAUAAAAAAUGACCUAUACUUAGCUAAGUUCCCUUCUAAAUAACAUAAUAUGCUUACGUAGCUCCAAGAUGACAUAUUCCUCCUAACUUAGCUAUUAAAUGGAAUUAGCUUAGAUAGCUCCAAAAUGACUAAAUAAGCAUAUUUAGCUCAAAGAUAACCUAUUUUUACAUAAGUAGCUCCAAAAUGACAUAGUAUAAUUACGUAGCUCCAAGAUGACCUAUUCCCCCUAACUUAGCUAUUAAAUGNNNNNNNNNNACUCUAAAAUGGCUUAAUCAGCAUAGUUAGCUCCAAAAUAACAUAUUUAACCCGAGUUAUCUCUAGAAUGACCUAUAGUUAGCUUGGCUUCCACCUAAAUGACAUAAUUAGCUUAGUUAGCUCCAAAAUGGCCUAUUUAUUAAAAAAUGACCUAUACUUAGCUGAGUUCUCUCCUAAAUGACAUAAUAUGCUUACGUAGCUCCAAGAUGAGCUAUUCCCCCUAACAUAGCUAUUAAAUGACCUAUAAUUAACUUAGCUAGCUCCAAAAUAGCUUAAUAAGCAUAGUUAGCUCAAAAAUGACCUACUUUUACCUAAGUAGCUCCAAAAUGACAUAUACUUAGCUUCAUUUCGUCCUAAAUAACAUAAUUAGCUUAGUUAGCUUCAAAAUGGCAUAUUUAAUAAAAAAUGACCUAUACUUAGCUAAGUUCUCUCCUAAAUGACAUAAUAAGGCUUAUGUACUUCCAAGAUAACCUAUUCCCCCUAACUUAGAUAUUAAAUGGCCUAUAAUGUGCUUAGCUAGCUCCAAAUGGCAUAAUAAGCAUAGUUAGCUCCAAAAUGACCUAUUUUACCAAUGUUAGCU
rnacentral:lncRNA from 1 species